rnacentral:tRNA from 1 species
GAGUGUAUAGUUCAGUGGUAGAGCGCAAGCUUAGCAUGCCCAAGGUCCUGGGUUCAAUACCCAGUACCUCCA